rnacentral:rRNA from 1 species
UACAGAGGUCCCAAGCGUUGUUCGGAUUCACUGGGCGUAAAGGGUGCGUAGGUGGUGAGGUCAGUCGGAUGUGAAAUCUCCGAGCUCAACUCGGAAAUGGCAUUGGAAACUACCUUGCUCGAGGGUUGGAGGGGGGACUGGAAUGCUUGGUGUAGCAGUGAAAUGCGUAGAUAUCAAGCGGAACACCAGUGGCGAAGGCGAGUCCCUGGACAACUCCUGACACUGAGGCACGAAAGCUAGGGGAGCAAACAGG